rnacentral:rRNA from 1 species
AGCAGCAGCCGCGGUAAUGCGUAGGGUGCAAGCGUUAAUCGGAAUUACUGGGCGUAAAGCGUGCGCAGGCGGUUUGUUAAGGCAGAUGUGAAAUCCCCGGGCUCAACCUGGGAACUGCAUUUGUGACUGGCAAGCUAGAGUGUGGCAGAGGGGGGUGGAAUUCCGCGUGUAGCAGUGAAAUGCGUAGAUAUGCGGAGGAACACCGAUGGCGGAGGCAGCCCCCUGGGCCAACACUGACGCUCAUGCACGAAAGCGUGGGGAGCAAACAGGAUUAGAUACCCCAGUAGUCCCUGUCUCUUAUAC